rnacentral:rRNA from 1 species
AAUGAACGCUGGCGGCAGGCCUAACACAUGCAAGUCGAACGAGCCUUCGGUCUAGUGGCGGACGGGUGAGUAACACGUGGGAACGUACCUUUAGGUUCGGAAUGAUGCAUGGAAACUUGUGCUAAUUCCGGAAGUGCCCUUCGGGGGAAAGAUUUAUCGCCUUUAGAGCGGCCCGCGUUAGAUUAGUUAGUUGGUGGGGUAAAGGCCCACCAAGGCUACGAUCUAUAGCUGGUCUGAGAGGAUGAUCAGCCACACUGGGACUGAGCCACGGCCCAGACUCCUAGGGGAGGCAGGAGUGGGGAAUCUUGCGAAAUGGGCGAAAGCCUGACGCAGCCAUGCCGCGUGAAUGAUGAAGGUCUUAGGAUUGUAAAAUUCUUUUAGCAGGGAGGAUAAUGACGGUACCUGCAGAAAAAGCCCCGGCUAACUUCGUGCCAGCCGCCGCCGUAACAC